rnacentral:lncRNA from 1 species
UUAUUAAGUGCAGAAAAUACAAGUGAGCCCACACAAGAACAAAGUGAUGAUCAGUUACUUGAGCCUCACGCUACAGAUGCAAAGUUGCUUGAAUCACAUGAUGGUGCAUACAAUAAGAUCCAUGGAUAGCAUAUAGCAUAGCUUAGUCUCUCUAAGAGUUAGUUAUGCCACGUCAUAGACAGUUAGAACUUGAUCCAUUGUAUAUAUACACUUGUAACUGCAUAUUGUAACUCACUUUUUCAUUCUUCAAUCAAUAUACAAUUUUCCCCAA